CCGCGCGCUUUCCCGGCUGCGCGCCCGCCCGGUCACGCGCCCUGCUCACCGCGCGCUCGCGUGGGGGCGUCCCCUCUGGCCCCGCGCACGCGCGCUACGUCCCUCAGACUGGCUGCCCCCGAGGGUUCGCCCCCAAAUCCUGUCAGUCCACGGCCUUGAUGGAGCGGCCCCCGUGGGACGACCCUGUUGAUUGUGCUAGCGGAUGUUGUCUCCAUUCUGGAUCUGGGAAAAACUGUGGAGUGAAAGCCGGACCUGUUAGGGUUGGGACCUGAAAGCGGACUUUUUCGCUCUCAGACGGGCCCCAGGAAUUUCAUGUUUAACAGAGGUGUCUUCAAGGAGAUGAAACAAUUCAGAAUGACCUAGGCAAUGGGGUAAUUCCUAAGUAUUGUAGGUCAAGAUAUUGGUUACCUAUGAGGGGGUGAUGCCUGGAGGAAGACCUAAGGGGAGGUCUUCUGGAUACUGAGUGCAUGGGAACAAGCUAUUCAUUCAUACAGCAUGGACGAAUAUUAAAUGCAUGUUGCUGAGUGAAAGAAGCCAGAAUGAUAAGGCUACAUCCUGGAAAAGUUUAUAUUCUGGAAAAGGCAAAACUUAUAGAGACAGAAACAAAUCAGCCAGUUGUUGCUGGGGUUUGGGAGAGAAGAAUGUUGACUAUGUGAAGAACAAGGGAUCUUGGGGGGCAUCUAUUCCAUAUGCUACUGUAGGGGUGGAUGCAUGAUACUAUCAUUUGUGGAAAACCAUAGAACUUUACAAAACUAACAGUGAACCUUAAUGUCUGCAAAAUUUUACAAAAUCAACUAGGAGGCUGGGGGAUCCCAGGAUGAAAUACAGGCAAUGACAAAAGAGCCUAACUCUAUUACACAUUUAUAACAUAACCGCACCGAAGAGGACUGGUAUUCUAUAACUGUGGAAAUAAUGGAAACUGGAAAACUGAAGACAAAAGGAACUGUACUUAGCACUAUACUCUAGUUGGUAAAGGCGUUUCUCAAGGGGUACCAGUUAACAAUUCUGAGACUGCUGUACAUGUAUGCAGAGACUGAACAAAUAAGUAAAUGGCUGGUACAUGCUCACUCUCAGGGAGGGAGGCCACAGAUAAACAAGAGGAAGAGGCUCUAAUGUCAUGUGUGGUUGUGGAUUAGAACCAGAAACAUAAAUAUGAACUCAUGUUUAGAUUAAUAUAGAUAUUAAUGGAUUGAUAUAGAAAUAAUGAUGAUAUGGGUAUAUAUACAGGUUAGUAUACAGUCAUAUAUUUCUUAUCCCUAUCCACUGAGAGGGCCUAGAAACAACAAUACUCCAGUAGCAACACACACAUCUCGUGCCCAUAUCUUGAUUUCUUUUGCCAUUUCCUAACAAAAGGAGCCAGGACUUCUUGGAGAAAUGGCUGAUUCUAAGACUGGGUCAGAGAGUAUACCAGAUGACGCUGGCACAUCUUCUACUGCUAGAAAGUAAGGAAAUGCUCAAAAAAUAAAACCACGGAGAUAUUUCAAAGGAACACAGAAGCCAAGUGGAACAGCUCCCAGUGGCCAAAGCUGGAAAAAUUGGGGCAAAAAAAAAAAAAAAAGUAUUAGGUUAUAAUCCAAAAUAUAAAAUAAAUAAUCACCAGCCCGUACUAAUGUGCAUAAAUUAUUGAAUAAAUAAGUAAAUGGGUGAAAAGAGAAAACUCUCUCCCAUACAAAGGAAGCCCAAAUAAUUUAUGUAGAUGAUCGCCCUGCAAUGAGGCAGAGGGCAACUCCCUACCCUGUGUUAAGUGUGGAUGGCACUUAGAGACUUGCUUCUGAAGAGCGCAAUACGGAAAGGAGGGGAGAAGUAACUUGGCAAUGAAGAAACCUGACAAACACCAUCUUCUCCAGGCAGCCAAGGUUAACACCAUCAGUGAUAAGUUACGUUGAUAGCCUGUAUUUUUGAUAUGAUGUGUUGAGAAUGUACUUAGUUUCUGUGGUCUUCUUCCCAAACACCUGACACCAGGCUCACCAGGAGAAAAUGAAUCCAAAUUAAGGGACAUUCUACAGAAUACCUGACCAACACUCCCUCCUAAAAACUGUCAAGGUCAUCAAGGAAUGUCUAGGAAGAAGGAAAGUCUGAGAAGUUGUCUCAGCCCAGAGGAGCCUUAAGAAGCCAUGACAGGGUCUCCAUCUGCCUCCCAGGCUGGAGUACAGCGGUGCCAUCACAGCUCACUGCAUCCACGACCUCCUGAGCUCAAUAGAUCUUCCAGCCUCAGCCUACUGAGUAGGUGGGACUACAGAAGUGCAUCACCAUGCCCGGCUAAUUUUUGUAUUUUUGGUAGAGAUGGGGUUUCGCCAUGUUGCCCAGGCUGGUCUCGAACUCCUGGGCUCAAACAAUGUACCCACCUCGGCCUCCCAAAGUGCUAGAAUUACUAACACUUUUGUAAAGUAAAAAGUUUAAAACAAAAAAUAAGAUUGGUAGAUGGAUAGAGGGUUGGAUAGAUAGCUGCGUGAUAAAGCUGUGUGAUAAAAUAUAAGAAAAUAUUAUUGGUAAGAUCUAGGUGCUGGGCAUAAAAGUGUUUGCUGUAAAAUUUCUCUGACUUUACUGUAUGUUGGAAAAUAUGCACAAUAAAAUGUUGGCAAAAAGAAUAUUAGUAUAAUUCAGAGUUAUUAAUGUUGCUCAUGUUUUUCUUUUUGCACUGUCAUCUUUCUUUUUUCCUUAUUUAUUUAUGGGCAUGAUUAUAUAUAGAAAGUUUUAAAAAAAUUUUUCCUGUUGCAUUUCAUUUCUGACCAUUACUACCAUUCAUUUUUUCAUGAUUAUUACUGAAAAUUAUUUUGUCAUGUGGAAGAUUGUUUUAAAAUUAUACCCUCUGGGUAUCAAAUCAUUAGAUAUGCCACUGCCAAGUAUAACCGAAUGUGUACUACCAAGGGGAUCCCCCAGC
rnacentral:lncRNA from 10 species